AGAACGAACGCUGGCGGCAUGCCUAACACAUGCAAGUCGAACGAGACCUUCGGGUCUAGUGGCGCACGGGUGCGUAACGCGUGGGAAUCUGCCCUUGGGUUCGGGAUAACAGUUGGAAACGACUGCUAAUACCGGAUAAUGACUUCGGUCCAAAGAUUUAUUGCCCAGGGAUGAGCCCGCGUAGGAUUAGCUAGUUGGUGAGGUAAAGGCUCACCAAGGCGACGAUCCUUAGCUGGUCUGAGAGGAUGAUCAGCCACACGUGGACUGAGACACGGCCCAGACUCCUACGGGAGGCAGCAGGUGGGGAAUAGUUGGAAC
rnacentral:rRNA from 1 species